rnacentral:rRNA from 1 species
UGGGGAAUCUUGCGCAAUGGGCGAAAGCCUGACGCAGCAACGCCGCGUGCGGGAUGAAGGCCUUCGGGUUGUAAACCGCUUUCAGUGGGGACGAACCAAGACGGUACCCACAGAAGAAGCCCCGGCCAACUACGUGCCAGCAGCCGCGGUAACACGUAGGGGGCAAGCGUUGUCCGGAUUCAUUGGGCGUAAAGAGCUCGUAGGCGGUUCGAUAAGUCGGGUGUGAAACCUCCAGGCUCAACCUGGAGACGCCACCCGAUACUGUUGUGACUAGAGUCCAGUAGGGGAGCGUGGAAUUCCUGGUGUAGCGGUGAAAUGCGCAGAUAUCAGGAGGAACACCAGCGGCGAAGGCGGCGCUCUGGGCUGGAACUGACGCUGAGGAGCGAAAGCGUGGGGAGCGAACAGGAUUAGAUACCCACGUAGUCCCUGAGCGGGCUGGCAAGGCGCAU